CAGUGGUGGCUGGCGAGGGACCGGUCUCAUCUUCAGACUCCUCGCCUAGGAAGCUGAGGUCGAGCUCUAGAAAUUUUCUGGCCACCUUCUUUUGGCAGAGCUCGAACCCCUUUAUGAACGCUUCCUGGCCAAAUUGGACCUUCAGGUCCCUCAUCUCCGCGGAGGCCUUGAAUUCCUCUACCGUAAGGACUCUGGCCUCCGAGACCAGGACCGGAGUUUGCUCGACCAAGUUGGUGACCUCGGCCUUCGCCUUUCUCGCCGAUUCCUCCAAGGUCUGCCUCUCCUCCUCCC
rnacentral:lncRNA from 1 species